ensembl:snRNA U6 U6 spliceosomal RNA
GUGCUGGCUUGAGCGGCACAUGUGCUAAAACUGGAAUGAUGCUGAGAAGAUUAGCAUGGCCUCUGAGCAAGGACAAUGUGUAAAUUCAUGAAGUUCCAUAUUUUUCU